UACAGAGGGGCAAGCGUUAUUCGGAAUUAUUGGGCGUAAAGGGCGCGUAGGCGGUCGGACAAGUGGAAGGUGAAAUCCCCAGGCUCAACCUGGGAACUGCCCUCCAAACUGUUUGACUUGAGUCCGGGAGAGGUGAGUGGAAUUCCCAGUGUAGCGGUGAAAUGCGUAGAUAUUGGGAGGAACACCAGUGGCGAAGGCGACUACCUGGCCCAUUCUUGACGCUGAGGCGCGAAAGCUAGGGGAGCGAACGGG
rnacentral:rRNA from 1 species